GAAAAUGGCUGCUGCCUCCUUGAAUGGGAAUUCCAAACAGGUUGAAAAGACAGAAGCCCCAAAGAGACCUACUGAGAUACCUGAUGCUGUUAAGCAUCGAGGUUUUAUUGCUUACGAACGUGAGGGAGUGAAGUACAGGGAUCCUAAUGUUAGAAUGGGAGAUUGGAAGGAGGUUAUGGAAGAAUCAAAACCUGGGCCGCUCUUAAAGACUCAGUCAGCUCGAUGCAUGGAUUGUGGUACCCCAUUUUGCCAUCAGGAGAACUCUGGCUGCCCUCUUGGCAAUAAAAUUCCUGAAUUCAAUGAGUUAGUUUAUCAGAAUAGGUGGCGUGAGGCCCUGGAGCGGCUUCUUGAAACAAACAACUUCCCAGAGUUUACUGGGCGUGUCUGCCCAGCCCCAUGCGAAGGAUCUUGUGUUCUGGGCAUUAUUGAGAAUCCUGUGUCCAUCAAAAACAUUGAAUGUGCCAUCAUAGACAAGGCCUUUGAAGAGGGGUGGAUGACUCCAAGGCCUCCUCCUGUGAGAUCCGGGAAAAGAGUAGCUAUUGUUGGGAGUGGACCAGCUGGCUUGGCUGCAGCCGACCAGCUAAAUAAAAUGGGACACAGGGUAACUGUGUAUGAACGAGCUGACAGAAUUGGAGGACUUAUGAUGUAUGGAGUUCCUAAUAUGAAGACUGACAAAGUGGAUGUAGUUCAGCGGCGUGUUAAACUUAUGGCAGAGGAAGGGGUAAAUUUUGUUGUUAAUGCUAAUGUUGGGACUGAUCCCUCAUACUCUCUCGAUCAACUUCGUGCGGAAAAUGAUGCACUCGUUUUGGCUGUUGGUGCCACAAAACCAAGGGAUCUUCCUGUACCUGGACGAGAACUAGCUGGAGUCCAUUUUGCCAUGGAAUUUCUUCAUUCAAACACAAAGAGCUUGCUUGAUAGCAAUCUCCAAGAUGGUAAAUACAUUUCUGCAAAGGACAAGAACGUAGUUGUCAUUGGUGGUGGUGACACUGGAACAGAUUGCAUAGGAACCUCUAUAAGGCAUGGUUGCAGUAGUAUUGUAAACCUAGAGCUUCUUCCUCAGCCGCCACAGACCAGGGCUCCAGGAAACCCUUGGCCACAGUGGCCUAGAAUAUUCCGAGUUGAUUAUGGACACCAGGAAGCAGCUGCGAAAUUCGGAAAAGAUCCAAGAACCUACGAGGUUUUGACCAAGCGGUUUAUUGGAGAUGAGAAUGGGGUAGUGAAAGGACUCGAAGUAAUUCGUGUUCAGUGGGAGAAAGAUGCCAAUGGAAGGUUCCAGUUUAAGGAGGUGGAAGGUAGCGAGGAAAUAUUAGAGGCGGAUCUUGUUUUACUGGCGAUGGGGUUCCUGGGGCCUGAAUCGACGAUAGCAGAGAAGCUGGGCGUUGAGAAAGAUGAUAGGUCUAACUUCAAGG
rnacentral:misc_RNA from 1 species